CCCGCACCCUUCCAUCCCCUUCCCACAGCCCAUGGCGCCAAAAUGGGAUGAGGUGCUCUGUGGGAUAGCUGCCCAUAAUGCGCUACUCCCAACAGCGCUGAAAAUGCAGAAAAUGUGGCCACAAU